UACGUAGGGGGGCAAGCGUUGUCCGGAUUUAUUGGGCGUAAAGAGCGUGUAGGCGGCCAUACAGGUCCGUUGUGAAAAACUCGAGGCUCAACCUCGAGACGUCGAUGGAAACCGUAUGGCUAGAGUCCGGAAGAGGAGAGUGGAAUUCCUGGUGUAGCGGUGAAAUGCGCAGAUAUCAGGAAGAACACCCGUGGCGAAGGCGGCUCUCUGGGACGGUACUGACGCUGAGACGCGAAAGCGUGGGGGAGCAAACAGG
rnacentral:rRNA from 1 species